AACGAACGCUGGCGGCAGGCCUAACACAUGCAAGUCGAGCGAGGACUUCGGUCCUAGCGGCGGACGGGUGAGUAACGCGUGGGAACGUGCCCUUUGCUUCGGAAUAGCCCUGGGAAACUGGGAGUAAUACCGGAUGAGCCCUUUGGGGGAAAGAUUUAUCGGCGAAGGAUCGGCCCGCGUUGGAUUAGGUAGUUGGUGGGGUAAUGGCCUACCAAGCCGACGAUCCUUAGCUGGUUUGAGAGGAUGAUCAGCCACACUGGGACUGAGACACGGCCCAGACUCCUACGGGAGGCAGCAGUGGGGAAUCUUAGACAAUGGGGGAAACCCUGAUCUAGCCAUGCCGCGUGAGCGAUGAAGGCCUUAGGGUUGUAAAGCUCUUUCAGCUGGGAAGAUAAUGACGGUACCAGCAGAAGAAGCCCCGGCUAACUCCGUG
rnacentral:rRNA from 1 species